rnacentral:rRNA from 1 species
GUAGUCCACGCCGUAAACGAUGAGUGCUAGUCGUUGGGUUUUUACUCAGUGACACAGUUAACACGUUAAGCACUCCGCCUGGGGAGUACGGUCGCAAGAUUAAAACUCAAAGGAAUUGACGGGGACCCGCACAAGCGGUGGAGCAUGUGGUUUAAUUCGAUGCUACGCGAAGAACCUUACCAACCUUUGACAUCCCUCUUUCGGACUUUUUAAUAGAAGUCUUUCGGUUCGGCCGGAGAGGAGACAGGUGUUGCAUGGCUGUCGUCAGCUCGUGUCGUGAGAUGUUGGGUUAAGUCCCGCAACGAGCGCAACCCUCAUCCUUAGUUGCCAACGGAUAAUGCCGGGAACUCUAAGGAAACUGCCCGUGACAAACGGGA